rnacentral:rRNA from 1 species
UAGUCCACGCAGUAAACGAUGAUUACUCGAUGUUGGCGAUACACGGUCAGCAUCUGAGCGAAAGCAUUAAGUAAUCCACCUGGGGAGUACGAUCGCAAGGUUGAAACUCAAAGGAAUUGACGGGGGCCCGCACAAGCGGAGGAGCAUGUGGUUUAAUUCGAUGAUACGCGAGGAACCUUACCUGGGCUUAAAUGUAGUGUGCAUUGGCGAUGAAAAUCCCAUUUCCUUCGGGACCCACUACAAGGUGCUGCAUGGUUGUCGUCAGCUCGUGCCGUGAGGUGUCGGGUUAAGUCCCAUAACGAGCGCAACCCCUAUUCUUAGUUGCCAUCAGGUCAAGCUGGGGACUCUAAGAAACUGCCGGCGCAAGCCGUGAGGAAGGUGGGGAUGACGUCAAAUCAGCACGGCCCUUAUGUCCAGGGCUACACACGUGCUACAAUGGUCGAUACAAAGGGCAGCUACACAGCGAUGUGAUGCAAAUCUCUAAAGUCG